UACUGAGAGCAGCGAGCGUUGUUCGGAGUUACUGGGCGUAAAGGGUGUGUAGGCGGUUCUUUAAGUUUGGUGUGAAAUCUCCCGGCUCAACCGGGAGGGUGCGCCGAAUACUGAGGGACUAGAGUAUGGGAUGGGAAAGUGGAAUUCCUGGUGUAGCGGUGAAAUGCGUAGAUAUCAGGAGGAACACCGGUGGCGAAGGCGCCUAUCUGGCCCAAUACUGACGCUGAGGCGCGAAAGCUAGGGGAGCAAACGGG
rnacentral:rRNA from 1 species